rnacentral:rRNA from 1 species
GACGAACGCUGGCGGCGUGCUUAACACAUGCAAGUCGAACGGAAAGGCCCUGCUUGCAGGGUACUCGAGUGGCGAACGGGUGAGUAACACGUGGGUUAUCUGCCCUGCACUUCGGGAUAAGCCUGGGAAACUGGGUCUAAUACCGGAUAGGAGCCAUUUUUAGUGUGAUGGUUGGAAAGUUUUUUCGGUGUAGGAUGAGCUCGCGGCCUAUAAGCUUGUUGGUGGGGUAAUGGCCUACCAAGGCGGCGACGGGUAGCCGGCCUGAGAGGGUGGACAGCCACAUUGGGACUGAGAUACGGCCCAGACUCCUACGGGAGGCAGCAGUGGGGAAGAGUGCACAAGGGGCGCAAGCCUGAUGCAGCGACGCCGCGGGGGGGAUGACGGCCUUCGGGUUGUAAACGCCUUUCGCUAGGGACGAAGCUGUUUGUGACGGUACCUAGAUAAGAAGCACCGGCUAACUACGUG